CCUACGGGAGGCAGCAGUGGGGAAUAUUGCACAAUGGGGGGAACCCUGAUGCAGCGACGCCGCGUGGGUGAAGAAGCGCCUCGGCGCGUAAAGCCCUGUCAGCAGGGAAGAAAAUGACGGUACCUGAAGAAGAAGCCCCGGCUAACUACGUGCCAGCAGCCGCGGUAAUACGUAGGGGGCAAGCGUUAUCCGGAUUUACUGGGUGUAAAGGGGGCGCAGACGGCGAUGCAAGCCAGGAGUGAAGGUCCGGGGCCCAACCCCGGGACUGCUCUUGGAACUGCGUGGCUGGAGUGCAGUAGGGGCAGGCGGAAUUCCUGGUGUAGCGGUGGAAUGCGUAGAUAUCAGGAGGAACACCGGUGGCGAAGGCGGCCUGCUGGACUGCAACUGACGUUGAGGCCCGAAAGCGUGGGGAGCAAACAGGAUUAGAUACCCCUAGUAGUC
rnacentral:rRNA from 1 species